ACGUAGGGGGCAAGCGUUAUUCGGAAUCAUUGGGCGUAAAGCGCUCGUAGGCGGCGCCGUACGACCCGUGUGAAAGCCCCCGGCUCAACUGGGGAGGGUCACGGGUUACGGCGGUGCUGUGAGUGCAGGAGAGGGGAGUGGAACUCCGGGAGUAGCGGUGAAAUGCGUAGAGACCCGGAGGAACACCAGUGGCGAAGGCGGCUCCCUGGUCUGCAACUGACGCUGUGGCGCGAAAGCUGGGGGAGCGAACGGGAUUAGAUACCCCGGUAGUCCCAGCCGUAAACGAUGGACACUAGGUGUGCGCGGUAUCGACCCCGCGCGUGCCGGAGCUAACGCAGUAAGUGUCCCGCCUGGGGAGUACGGCCGCAAGGCUA
rnacentral:rRNA from 1 species